rnacentral:lncRNA from 1 species
GGAAGGUUACGUUAGGUCAUGUCUGAGGCUUCAACCUGUGCCCGGUGAUGCUCCUGUCGGCGUGGUGAUGAAAUCAUUCCACAGAUUUCCACGCGCCCUGUGAAGACGCAGCCACGUGGACACGGAGCUCGCUGCCCGGCCCACUCUGCUCUUCUCUCCUCCGGAAGUAGAACACAGCACCUCAGGUUCCCCAAGACCCACUUCCUGGCCAGAACUUCACUUGGACUCCUUCCUUUCUGAUGUUUUCAUUGCGUCUUAUGUACCAGGGCGAGGAUGGAAGGAGAAGCCUCGGUAACUCGACUGUUAUCAAAACCACACAUCCAACUAGACCGGCAUCCUUGGACACGCCACCCUGCAGGAUGGUUGUGAAAACCUUCCAAACCCGCCUUGAAGGAGACUCCGAGAGGUGCCACCGCGCGGCAGCCCUGGCUGUGGAACCUCCGCGUCCAAAUGCUAACGCCAAGGGAACAUGUCCCCAGACUCAGUUGAAGAAAACCCUAAACCCCAAGAGACAUUUCUACCAGCCAUCUGAAUGUUGGGUUUAACCUUCUACCAUUUGCAGAAGUUUUAAGAACAUACAAAAGUUUUGCAAGUUUCCUAUCUCAAACUUUUAUUUUAAAAAGUCAAAGUCGUAUACUUGGUCAAUAGUCUACCAAAUGAGGAAGAUAGUUAAGACCCGAAGGCCAUGAAGGAGUCCGCCAUGACGUGCUGUGUUGACGAGGGAGCAGCAGAGCGCCUGAGGUGAAGACUGUGGCCUGGCUCUCAGACAAGAGGUCAUGCCACGAUUCCAUGUAUCUUUUCAUUGACAGAAGUUUUCAUGUUACCUCGUGUAAUGUUCUAAACUCGGGGGUGUAGAGGGGAUCCUCUCCAUUUGCUGAUGAGAAAACUGAAGCCCAGUGAGGUGAAGGGGUGCAUUCAAGGUGUCAGAAGAAGAAGGGGCAGCAGAGCAAGGGUUCUCACCCUUUUCUUCGGACCCUACCUACUGCUGUUCAUUUUGCCACACCGUGCCUUCUGGGAACAGUGGUUGUCCUCCUGGAAUUUUUACAUGGGGAAAAAAACGUAACCCCACAAUGUAAUUUCAGUGGGGCUGG